rnacentral:lncRNA from 1 species
CUCAUUAUUUUUUAUCAGGGAAAUAAAAGCAUCAAGAUAAAAUUAUUAAGGAUAUUUUAUAUCACGAACAUGAACACUGUACCAGUGAAGAGAGGUGGAAAGAAGAUAUUCGGAGAGAAGAAUGAUGACCUCGUGGAUAAACAGAGAAGGAUGUGAACAUGAGAGGAUGCUUCAUGUAUUCUCCUCCUCUCUUUUUUUUUCCUGAAAGUUGCAGGACGGAUAGACUACCAUCCUGCCUUGCCUCUUUGGCUUCUACUUUAAACUCAAUGCUAUGAAGUACAUGAAAAAAGAGGAAGCAGUCCCCAGGCGAUACCAUAGGAAGGUUGGUGACC